GGAUCUGAAAGCACCCCUAGCGAACCUGCAAAACGCUUCUGUUGAAACGAUCGUGAGGACAGCCCGUGCUUGAACCCACGACUCGCCUCUUCUUCCUUACCGGCCCAAUCCGAGCCACACGUUGGUCUGCGGGACUCCAAAGGACUCGUGCACCCGACCUGAGCAGCCUGAAACUCUCCUGGAAUGCAGCACGGCACCAGACCGGGCCGUGUACUACCGCUGGAAAGACGUGAGGUCAAAGCGUCGGAGCGACGUUAAGUCGAGGCAUCGGAGCGACGUGCAUUUUGACUACAUGGUCGGAUGGCGCAGAAACUCGGGCGAAGGUGGAGGUUGUAAUGAACAGGAUGUGACGUCUCAGAAAGUACUAAUAGGUAGCGGCAAAUGGGGAUGUGUGCAAGGUUGCAAUUCACAAGAGUCCCUGAAAUACCGAUGUAUCGGCUACAACAAGCCGAGCAACUGGAUGGUUGGAUCUGGCACCUUUGAAAUGAACAUGCCAAGUGUCCAAGCCAGUGUUGUUGAGUAUACUGGGUGUUGCUUCAUCACAUCAUCCGUGAUGACUCAAACAAAGAUUCAUACCUAUUCCGGUGCCAGUUGGAGAUUAAGAACAACCAUUGAUAUCAGCAUCCGUCAGGACAUCGGGAAACCCAACUCCUCUCCAGUAACCACUUCAAAACCACUGAUUAAAGUGAAGUCUGGAUGUCCAUCUUCCAUCCCACUGGCGGUCUCGGACCCUGACGGGGACGACGUUCGGUGUCGGAUGGCUGUCGGACAAGAGUGCGGUCAAGUUUGUGGAAUUGUACCUUAUGGUAGUUUGGAUGAGACAACAUGUAUCUUGGACUUCAACCCUCCUCAAAAGACGAAUGGCCUUUGGGUGCUCGCCCUCACUCUAGAGGACUUUGCUAUGGUGAAUGGUCAAAGGACUGGACCUUUCUCGUCCAUACCACUACAGGUUAUCCCCCCCCCCCCCCCCCCCCCCCCCCCCCCCCCCCCCCCCCCCCCCCCCCCCCCCCCCCCCCCCCCCCCCCCCCCCCCCCCCCCCC
rnacentral:lncRNA from 1 species